UCAGGAUGAACGCUAGCGGCAGGCUUAACACAUGCAAGUCGAGGGGUAACGACACUUUCGGGUGGUCGACGACCGGCGCACGGGCGCGUAACGCGUAUGCAACCUACCUAUAACAGGAGGAUAGCCCGGAGAAAUCGGGAUUAAUACUCCAUAGUAAUCGAAUCAGGCAUCUGAAAUGAUUUAAAGUUCCGGCGGUUAUAGAUGGGCAUGCGUGACAUUAGUUAGUUGGUGAGGUAAUGGCUCACCAAGACAUCGAUGUCUAGGGGGUCUGAGAGGAUGAUCCCCCACACUGGUACUGAGACACGGACCAGACUCCUACGGGAGGCAGCAGUGAGGAAUAUUGGUCAAUGGACGCAAGUCUGAACCAGCCAUGCCGCGUGCAGGAUGACGGCCCUAUGGGUUGUAAACUGCUUUUAUUAAGGAAUGAACUCUUCGUUCGUGAACGAGACUGAAGGUACUUAAAGAAUAAGCAUCGGCUAAC
rnacentral:rRNA from 1 species